AGUUAAUAAGUUUUUAAAAACAUAUGUUUUGAAAACAUAAAUUAUAAGUAAAAUCUUAUAUUAACUU
rnacentral:tRNA from 1 species